GCCCCUAUAGUUUAAUGGAUAGAAUGCUGGCCUCCGAAGCCGGUGAUCGGCGUUCGAAUCGCCGUGGGGGCA
rnacentral:tRNA from 1 species